CCCCGACUAGCACAGGUGGUAGAGCAUGAGACUCAUAACCUCAGGGUAGUGAGUUCGUGUCCCACGUUGGGUG
rnacentral:tRNA from 1 species